rnacentral:rRNA from 1 species
UGGGGAAUUUUGGACAAUGGGCGCAAGCCUGAUCCAGCCAUGCCGCGUGCAGGAUGAAGGCCUUCGGGUUGUAAACUGCUUUUGUACGGAACGAAAAGGUGCCUUCUAAUAAAGGGCGCUCAUGACGGUACCGUAAGAAUAAGCACCGGCUAACUACGUGCCAGCAGCCGCGGUAAUACGUAGGGUGCGAGCGUUAAUCGGAAUUACUGGGCGUAAAGCGUGCGCAGGCGGUUUUGUAAGACAGAGGUGAAAUCCCCGGGCUCAACCUGGGAACUGCCUUUGUGACUGCAAGGCUGGAGUGCGGCAGAGNGGGAUGGAAUUCCGCGUGUAGCAGUGAAAUGCGUAGAUAUGCGGAGGAACACCGAUGGCGAAGGCAGUCCCCUGGGCCUGUACUGACGCUCAUGCACGAAAGCGUGGGGAGCAAACA